CCUACGGGAGGCAGCAGUGAGGAAUAUUGGUCAAUGGGCGGGAGCCUGAACCAGCCAAGUCGCGUGAGGGAAGACGGUCCUAUGGAUUGUAAACCUCUUUAGGCGGGGAGCAAUGCCGGGCACGCGUGCCCGGAGGGGGAGUACCCGCAGAAUAAGCAUCGGCUAACUCCGUGCCAGUAGCCGCGGUAAUACGGAGGAUGCGAGCGUUAUCCGGAUUCAUUGGGUUUAAAGGGUUCGUAGGCGUAUUUUUAAGGCAGCGGUAAGAUGACCGGGCUCAACCCGGGGCGGCCGUUGAAACUGGGGAUCUUGAGUGGGCGAGUAGUAUGCGGAAUGCGUGGUGUAGCGG
rnacentral:rRNA from 1 species